rnacentral:lncRNA from 1 species
AGUCUCCCUGGAACCAAGCAGCCAAGGCAGGCUAAUGGUGAAGGCCCAGGCACAGUAAUGGUCCCCUGGAGAUGGAGUCCUGCUCUGUCAUCCAUGCUGGAGUGCAGUGGCGUGAUCUCAGCUCACUGCAACCUCCGCCUCCUGGGUUCAAGUGAUUCUCCUGCCUCAGCCUCCCAAGUAGCUGGGAUUACAAGUGUGCACCAUCACACCCUGCUGAUUUUUGUAUUUUUAGUAGAGACAGGGUUUCACCAUGUUGGCCAGG